rnacentral:rRNA from 1 species
UACGUAGGGGGCAAGCGUUGUCCGGAUUUAUUGGGCGUAAAGAGCGUGUAGGCGGCCCGAUAAGUCCGCUGUGAAAGUCAAGGGCUCAACCCUUGAAUGCCGGUGGAUACUGUCGGGCUAGAGUCCGGAAGAGGCGAGUGGAAUUCCUGGUGUAGCGGUGAAAUGCGCAGAUAUCAGGAGGAACACCGGUGGCGAAGGCGGGACUCUGGGCCGAUACUGACGCUGAGGAGCGAAAGCGUGGGGAGCGAACAGG